rnacentral:rRNA from 1 species
AUUGAACGCUGGCGGCAGGCCUAACACAUGCAAGUCGAACGAGUGGCGGACGGGUGAGUUAUGUCUGGGACACUGCCCGAUGGAGGGGGAUAACUACUGGAAACUGUUGCUAAUACCGCAUACCAUCGGAUGUGCCCAGAUGGGAUUAGCUAGUAGGUGGGGUAACGGCUCACCUAGGCGCCGAUCCCUAGCUGGGCUGAGAGGAUGACCAGCCACACUGGAACUGAGACACGGUCCAGACUCCUACGGGAGGCAGCAGUGGGGAAUAUUGCACAAUGGGCGCAAGCCUGAUGCAGCCAUGCCGCGUGUAUGAAGAAGGCCUUCGGGUUGUAAAGUACUUUCAGCGGGGAGGCGUUACGCGCAGAAGAAGCACCGGCUAACUACGUGCCAGCAGCCGCGGUAAUAC